rnacentral:rRNA from 1 species
UACGUAGGUCCCGAGCGUUGUCCGGAUUUAUUGGGCGUAAAGCGAGCGCAGGUGGUUUAAUAAGUCUGAUGUAAAAGGCAGUGGCUCAACCAUUGUGUGCAUUGGAAACUGUUAGACUUGAGUGCAGUAGAGGAGAGUGGAAUUCCAUGUGUAGCGGUGAAAUGCGUAGAUAUAUGGAGGAACACCGGUGGCGAAAGCGGCUCUCUGGACUGUAACUGACACUGAGGCUCGAAAGCGUGGGUAGCAAAUAGG